rnacentral:rRNA from 1 species
UCCGUAGGUGAACCUGCGGAAGGAUCAUUACCAAUGUCUUCGGGGGGACUCCGGUCCCUGUCUGAACCCUUGUCUUUUGCGUACUAUUUGUUUCCUUGGUGGGCUUUUGCCUGCCAAAAGGACACUAUAUAACCCUUUGUAAUUGCAAUCAGCGUCAGAAAAACAUAAUAGUUACAACUUUCAACAACGGAUCUCUUGGUUCUGGCAUCGAUGAAGAACGCAGCGAAAUGCGAAAAGUAGUGUGAAUUGCAGAAUUCAGUGAAUCAUCGAAUCUUUGAACGCACAUUGCGCCCCUUGGUAUUCCAUGGGGCAUGCCUGUUCGAGCGUCAUUUGUACCUUCAAGCAUUGCUUGGUGUUGGGUGUUUGUCCGCGUUUCUACACGCGGACUCGCCUUAAAGUGAUUGGCAGCCGGCGUACUCGCCUCGGAGCGCAGCACAUUUUGCGCCCCUUGACCUGAACGAUGGCGUCCACUAAGCCUAUACUUUGCUCCUUGACCUCGGAUCAGGUAGGGAUACCCGCUGAACUUAAGCAUAUCAAUAAGCGGAGGA